GACGAACGCUGGCGGCGUGCCUAACACAUGCAAGUCGAGCGGGGAUUUAAGUGGAAGUUCUUCGGAAUGGAGAUUUAAAUUCUAGCGGCGGACGGGUGAGUAACGCGUGAACAAUCUGUCCCGGACAGGGGGAUAACACUUGGAAACAGGUGCUAAUACCGCAUAAGACCACGGCCUCGCAUGGGGCUGAGGUAAAAGGAGCAAUCCGGUUCGGGGUGAGUUCGCGUCCGAUUAGCUAGUUGGUGAGGUAACGGCCCACCAAGGCGACGAUCGGUAGCCGGCCGGGGGGGGUGAACGGCCAAAUGGGAAAUGGGGGACGGUAAAAAACCCUACGGGGGGCAGCAGGGGGAAAUAUGGGGAAAUGGGGGAAAGCCUGACCAAGCAACGCCGGGGGGGGGAAAAAGGUUUUCGGUUUGAAACCCCCUGUCCUAUGGGACGAAGGAAGGGACGGUACAAAAGGAGGAAGCCCCGGCUAACUAGGU
rnacentral:rRNA from 1 species